UGCUCAACAGAUUUCGACUGUAGAGACCCUUUGAUUUUUUACUAUUUAUUUUUAAAUUCGAUUUCCAUAAACAGGAUUUUUACAGUGCCAAUGCCAAGACUACAAUCCAAACAGCGUGCAUCAUCACAAAGUCGAUUCGCACAUGACAAUCCAAACACGGAUCCAAACGGCAACUGAUUAAGAAGACCUUAAAAUCUGAAAUCUACCUGAUUCAUGCAUAGCUGACUUUGAUAACAACUGUUAUCUAUUUAGUGCGGAAUAAAUGGAUUGUCUAUCCAUCAAUAAUGGAGAUUCAAUACUAUAAUCUUAAAGGCGUACUUGAUUGGGAAGACAUUUCCGAUGCCUGGAUGUCGCCGACAAGAAUCUUGAUCUUCCACAUCUCACAUUCUCAAGAGAACCUUUCAAUGGGCCUAGGGUUUUCUCUCAUAUGUGGGUGAGGGGAUCAAGACAUGUAUUUAUAGGAAAGAGGGUCAGAGAAGCUUACCCAUCACACUUCUUUCCUCUGGGUUAUCCACACUGUAGGUUUUCAUAUCCGGCUUAAUAACCAUGUAUAAGGACCACGGUUCAAGUGUCCCGCGCCGUACCUAUUUACAAUGAUCACAACUGUAAUUGGGUCCACUGAAUCACUCAAUCUGAAUAAUCCAACGGUCAGAUAUAAACCGAUGAUCAUGAGUGACCCACCUAAAAAGAGUCUUACACCGUAGGUUUUUUUAUUGGUUACUAUCCUAGCCAAGUUACAGGGACCUUAAGAUUUAAUUGGGAAGAUCCUGACCUCAGAAUUUUUAUAUUUGAACGACGCAAUGGAAUCUUGAUAUGCAAAGGUGAUGAUAGCAUCCCGCAUGUGAUGGAGAUGAUACUGAAUUGCACCGAUGGCUUUUUGCUGGAGGGUCAUGUUGCUAUUCGACAAUUGUCAAAACUCGGUGCAAGGAACUUAAAUACAUUAAAAGGCUGUGUUGUGGUAGGAUACGAAGGAAUCGAGACCCUUAUAGAUGGAGAUGGGGUAAAGGACAAUCUUGUGUUGCCAAACCUAGAGGAACUACAUCUUAGGAAACUUUUCAAUUUAAGGAGCAUUUGGAAGGGGCCUUUGUCACUUGGAAUAAGAUGCCUCACUAGCCUUAGGUAUUUAAUCUUGUACAAGUGUCCCAGUUGAGGAAUACUUUCCCAUGGGGCAUCAUCCAACCACUCUCCAACUUAGAAUGGCUUUGCAUUAAAGAUUGUUUUGCAAUGAAAGAAAUAAUUGCUAAUGAAGAGGGGUGGAGGAGACAUGCUUUGUCAAAUGUGUUAGCAUUCUUCCUAAAUUGAAGUGGUUGCAUCAUCUUUCUUAGAUGCUAGAAUUAGCUCACAUUUAUAGUGAAGGGCUUUCACUAGGGACUUGGCCAUCCUUAUUCUUUAGAGGAGAUUAGGAUUUGUAAAUGCCCGAAUUUGAGGACUCUUCCUCAUGGCAUUAUCAAUGCACCCAAUCUAAGAAACAUAAGAUGCGAAAGAGAAUGGUCGGAAGCAUUGUUAUUGGAAGAUGAUGCCAUCAAACAAUAACUCCAGCACAUGCUCAUGUUCUAGAAAUAGGCAAAAAGCAACUUCAAAGAUCAACAGUGUAUGGUACUAUCUUUUAUUUUGUUUUCUAUAAGAUGAAUUUAUGUUGGGGUUUGAUCACAUGCAUCCAAAUGCAUUGCAGGAUCCAAUGCAUUUGAAUUUCCAGCCAUUGAUUUGAAAAGGGCAGUGGAGAUACGUGCACUUUAUCCAAUGGGCUGUUUGAUUUUCUAAUUAUGCCUGGAAUUCAAAGGAAAUAGGUAAUAUUUAUUUACCUUUAUAUUUUUUUCUUCCUUUCAAAAGGUGAUGUUGACAGCCCCCUCUGUUAUAGCAGGCAGUCAUGUCGCCCGAGGAGAAAAGGGCUGAAACUGUGGGGCUCGCCAUGAUGUACAUGUCUUAUAUAAGAUUUAUUUGGUGGGCCACAUAUGAUCACAUGUUUAGAACUGACUGUUGUAUUAUUCAGAUUUUGCGAUUUAGUGGGCCCUACUACAGUUGUGAUCAUUGAAAAUAGGUUUGGGGCGGGACGCUUGAACUGUGUUCCUUAUACACAGUUAUUAAGCCGGAUAUAAAAACCUACGGUGUGGAGACCUUAGAGGAGAGAAGUAUGAUGUGUAAGCUUCUCUAGCCCUCUUUUUUAUAAAUAGAUGUCGUAGUUCUCUCACCAAUACAUGAGAGAAAAUCCUAGUCCCAUUAAGAGGUUCUCUUAAAGGUGUGAGGUGCGUAAGAUCAAGAUUCCCGUUGGCGACAUCGAGGCGUCGAGAAUGUCUUCCCAAUUAGGUACGCCUUUAAGAUUAAAGCGUUGAAUCUCCAUUAUUGAUGCAUAGACGAUCCAUCAAUUCUGCAAUAAAGAAAUAAUAGUUGGUAUCAGAUAAACUAUGCAUUAAUUUUGGGGAUUUUCUGAAGUUCUCAAAAACCCGAUCUUUUCCCAAACCUGAGUCCCAUUGGAACCCAACAAGAUGUUGGAGUCCAACAAAAUUAAGGUCGGCCAAAACAAAUCCAAUUGCAUUAAGAAUCCGGUUUUGGACUUGACAUUCAUGCCAACCAUGUCAUGAGCGUCGCUGGUCGUGCCUCCAUGGAACUCGAAUCCCUCCAAUAAGAUUUCUUCAAAACCAUUUAUCAAGUUUUGCGACUGAUGAAAUCGUAGCAUUCGAUGUCGGAUACUAGUUGUUGAAGUCGGACCAAAGGCCCAUCUGGCCAUUGCACCCUCAACUGCGAUCGGCCAUGGCAGCCAUUGUUGGUCAACCAUUGCCGACUGCAAUCAGAGAUUGUAGCAGUUCUGGCCUCGAAUCCUUGUUGCCAUUCAUAAAAAAAUCAAAACUAUUGGUUUUCCACACCAUCUUCGACAGUGGACUAUUGCCGCUGCUGUUGCAAGCUCCUACAAGCAUCUGAAUAACCUGCAAUUGGUUUUUACCCAUUGUCGUCGUUCUAGAUAGUUGUAAUCGACACUUUAGCUACCUAAAUAGACAACCCUGACCAUCGAUUCCAAUGUGUAGACACUGAAGUUUAGGAUCGUUAGAGGUUUGGGUGUAGGCGUUGUGGUGGUGAUGAGAUCAACACACCAGCUAUCACCGGUGAUGACAGUGACGGUGUUGGAGCGGCGGCCAUGGUGAAUGGAGUUCCAAUGAUGGAUUUUUUUUCCCCAAUCAGAUCUUUGCAGUGGGAUUCAGCGGUGGCCGUUUUUUCAGCAGCGACAUUGUUAAUGUCAAUUUCGGCCAUGCAUGUCAUAGUAUCUAGGGUUUUGGAGAUUGGUUUCCCAUUUUGGAAAGGGGGCUGUGUAGAAAGGAGUUAGGUUUUCUAUAUAAGAGUUUACUGAUUUGUAAAGUAGGUAGAGGGGCUGCGUCUGCUUAUUGUAGAAACUGACAUUGGGCCUCUCAAUUGGGCCGCGAGACGAGCUCUAAUUUUUGCCACCUGUGCUACUUCAGCCCAACUCUCUACGCACUAUAGUCGGCUCAUUUUUUGGCUCGUUUGCGCAGAUCUGGGCCUCCAUGCUCAUUCUGGGCCCAACCCAUGGAUCUUGAUGUCUCAUUGCCCUUUCUUUGGACCUUUAGGGGCCUAGUUGAGUACUUAGGCACAUUGUCCAAGAUGAUGAUCUAAAACAUUGAAUCAAUAUACUUGGGCCAUUUUAGUACAAAUUGAAACCUAAAUAAAUUAUUUGAUGGUUGGUAGGUUACACUUGUGAGACGGCCCUGGUAAUUUAGUAAAUAUGGUUAAAUACACCAUUAAGUUUUGAUCUGACCCAAAAUAGGGCCAUUAUCCAUAUAUUUGAGGUAGAUAUGAAGUAGUUGACCAUUAAGAGUUUAGUACAACCAUCACUUUAGAAUAUGUUUGCGCAUUUGGGUGGUCAACAUUAGCCGUAUUCUGGGCCAAAUUAGAACUUCUGCAGAAUGGUCUGUUGUGGGCAAAGACCAUGUAGCAAUCCUUGAGUCUUGGAGUGGGGAUUGGAGCUAGUUAUGUUAGCCAUCAAAGUGACCUCGAUUGGUGAAAAUCUUUGCUUUUAGACUACAAUAUAUAGAAUUUAGUGACCUUCCAUUAUAGGAUUGCAUUCAGUUGCGUUCAUAUCCAUUGCAGUCGGUGAUAAGAACAAAGAGGUAUCAUCGCUUUACAGGGCAUGAGCGGAGUGAAGUGAUUGGAGAUUGUGAUACAAGUUUAAGAGAUUCGUUUUGCCCAAAGGUGGUGGACGUCUUAUAUUUAUUUCACUAGCACUGGUUAGCUUUAUGUUUAGUAGAGCAUCCUGUAUGUUGCAAUUUCGCCUAAAGGAGGAGUCACAAUGAUACGUCGGGCACUUGUCAAAAUUUGAUGACUAUGGCCCAUCAUCAUUCUCGGUCAUUUGAUUGAAGGGCAAAUCAAUCGAAUGUUAAUACAUGCAUAAUGUUUGUGAUUAACAUUCAUGUAGUAUUAUGUGGGACUUGUUCAUUUAUUAAUGUGAGUGUUAUGCUUUGUAUGUCCAGCUAUGACUGUUUCCAAUGUUCCAAACCAAUUCAAUUUGGUUCCUUUGCUUACUGGGUCUAACUAUUAAAAAUGAAAGUUGUCCAUUGAAAUAGUCAUAGGCUGCAUGGACUUGGAUUUGGCCUUGGAGGAAGCCAAGUCUCCUAUUCCAUUUGACUCUAGUACGGAUUCAGAAAAGGCUUACUAUAAGGCCUAGACAAAGGCGAACAAGAUGUGUCUCAAGAUCAUAAAGUACUCGAUUUCUGAGACCAUAAAAGGUGUCAUGCCCAACAAUGAGAAAGCCAAAGAGUUCCUGACUGAAAUAGGGAACUGAUUCAUGAAGUCGAAUAAAGCUGAGCUGAGUUCGCUUCUGCAUAAGCUGACUCAAGUCACCUAUAACGGUCAAAGAAACAUCAGGGAGUACAUUGGUGGGUUAUCUGAUGUGGUGGCCAAAAUUCGUACAUUAGGCUUUAAGAUUGAGGAUGAACUCCUGGUUUUCUUGGUUUUGAACUCCAUACCUCUAUAGUUUGGUCAAUUCCAAAUUAGCUAUAACACCCAAAAGGAAAAGUGGACAUUGAAUGAACCAAUAUCUUAGUGCGUUUAGGAGGAAAAGAGACUCGGAAGGUUAAGCAAAAUACAAAGUGCACACCUAGUGACAUCUGGUCAAGGACGGAAAUAAAAUAAGAGAAGGAAGCACAAUUUAGGAAAUCAUUCUUCGGGUCCUGCGGAUGGCAAUUAACCUAACUCUUGAGGAAAGAUUAAAGAAGAAAAAGCGGGGUCCUAACGAUGGUUGCUUCUUCUGUACGAAGCCUGGUCAUAAAAAAAAAUGAUUGUGCAUAAUUUAAAGAAUGGCUCGUUUGUGAGUGGAAGAAUAAAGUUUUAGUCUGUUUUGAAUCUGAUUUAGCUGAUAUGUACAUAUACUCUUUGUAUGUAUUUAACCUCUAAAAGGGCUUUUCAUUUUCAUUUCCAUCCUUAUUCUCUCUUCCUCUCUUUUAGUACCACCUACCCUACCCCUCUCCCUCUCUCUUAAAAUCUCUCUUUAUGCCACGCACCCUCUCUAUUUCUAUCUCACGAAAGCAACCAAUUCUCUCUCUCUCACACACAAACACUUUCUUUCUAUUUUUGUCAAGGAGGACAAGAUUGAGACGAGGACUACGAAUAUUAGGUUUUGAGAUUGAAUCAUCGCAACAUUCGUUCUCCCAUUUUACCACAACAUGGGAGGAAGAGGCAUUUCUUGGUUAUAGCUUCUAAGUUUUGGACUACUCUUAGAGACAUUUGCUUUCCAAGAGUGAUACACUGCAAAUCUCAUUUGGUGUUCUCUCAGGUGAACAGAUUCAAUCAAAGUACUUGGUUUAAAGUUGAAGAUAUAGUUAGUUCAAAUCUUGCUGUUGUGCCCCAACCGUUGCUACAUUAUCCAUACAAUCCUGAUCCUUUGAUAUGCUUCUUAAUUUCUAGAUGUGAAUUCAUACUUUAGAAAUGGGGUGUGAUGUUGUUGUGGACAUGAUAUGUACUUUCUGUUGCCACUUGUGUUUUCAUUCUUUACUGGUUUUGCUGUUGGAUUGUUGGAUCACACCUUGCUCUUAUGAAAUUUACGGCUCUUUCUUAUGAACUCGCUUGCGUAGAUGGCAGAGCAUUGGGAUCUAUUUCCUCA